AAUUGGCGAAAUGGUUGAAGCUUUAUACUCGUACUGCAGAGACAAAGGAUUGAACCCAGCCA
rnacentral:tRNA from 1 species